rnacentral:lncRNA from 1 species
CUUUGGAGGCGGUGCGCGUUGCAUUCUGGGAGUCACGUGAAGGAGGGCACUGUAGUGCUGCGGCGGGCCUGACCAAGGUCCCCGUUUCCCACAGGCUGCGUACGGAGUGGAGGUCUACAGGGUGGGUCGUGUUCUAGAAUAGGGUAGGCGACCGUCUCCAAACUGCUCUGGACCAGGCUCUGAGGUGGGGGAGCCAGGCGUGGUGAGCGUAUGCGCUGCUGAGACCUGGGGCUGAGAAAGAGAGAAUAAAUCCUGCAAACCCCACAGCAUGUUAAGGGAUUCCAGCCCAGGAUCCUUAUUCUGUAAGGCACAUUUUCCUCGCAGGGCCAGGUGGUGUCUCCUGAACACCUUCUAGUCCCCAGACCUCUUCAGGAAACUGCAGUUAUAGAAAACAAAGCAGCAUUGCUCAGUUUGAAUGGUAAAGGAUGGAAUUUUUGCUCUGGUCUUCUGGCCACUACCAAGUGUUUCCAUUUCCUCCAGAUUGAAACUCUUUUUGGGAUGAGCCUUUGAUUGGAUCAGCCAGUCUCCAUCAAGUACUGAGUACCUUAUUAGGUAUGUGUUUUCUGGGGUAGCUUGUGGAGCAAUGAUUAUCUUGUAGCUCUUUUGUUUGGGUAGGUGGUUAUCUUUGUCCAACCAUUUUUGGCCAGAUUCAUAUGAAACAAAACAUAGUAGCAUUUAGAAAGAGGGUUUGUUUGCAUUCUGUAGCAUUUGAAAUAGAAGUGAUGAAACUUUCAGGUUCUGGUCUAAUAUAAGUAACACUGGAACCCACCAAGUGUUAGCUAUCAUCAUU